AUUGAACGCUGGCGGCAGGCCUAACACAUGCAAGUCGAGCGGAUGAAGGGAGCUUGCUCCUGGAUUCAGCGGCGGACGGGUGAGUAAUGCCUAGGAAUCUGCCUGGUAGUGGGGGAUAACGUCCGGAAACGGGCGCUAAUACCGCAUACGUCCUGAGGGAGAAAGUGGGGGAUCUUCGGACCUCACGCUAUCAGAUGAGCCUAGGUCGGAUUAGCUAGUUGGUGGGGUAAAGGCCUACCAAGGCGACGAUCCGUAACUGGUCUGAGAGGAUGAUCAGUCACACUGGAACUGAGACACGGUCCAGACUCCUACGGGAGGCAGCAGUGGGGAAUAUUGGACAAAGGGCGAAAGCCUGAUCCAGCCAUGCCGCGUGUGUGAAGAAUGUCUUCGGAUUGUAAAGCACUUUAGGUUGGGAGGAAGGGCAGUAAGUUAAUACCUUGCUGUUUUGACGUUACCAACAGAAUAAGCACCGGCUAACUUCGUG
rnacentral:rRNA from 1 species